rnacentral:lncRNA from 1 species
CAGACAUGUCUUGUAGAAUGAUUUUAGGGAAGAAGUACAUGGACCAGGACUUGGAUCAGAAGGGGUUCAAGGCUGUGAUGCAAGAGGUGUUGCACUUAGCAGCAGCUCCUAACAUAGGGGAUUACAUUCCUUACAUUGGUAAACUUGACCUUCAAGGGCUAAUCAGGCGUAUGAAGACACUGCGCAGAAUCUUUGAUGAAUUCUUUGACAAAAUUAUUGAUGAGCAUAUUCAAUCAGACAAGGGAGAAGUCAAUAAGGGGAAGGAUUUUGUGGAUGCCAUGUUGGACUUCGUUGGUACCGAAGAAUCUGAAUACCGCAUUGAACGCCCCAAUAUCAAAGCCAUAUUGCUGGUAAGAGAAAUCAUUAUCACAUCGUUGAGUAUUUUUCCUAUUAUAUAUUUUUUAAAAUUCAAGUCAGAUGAUGCUUACAUAGUAGUUCCAAUUAUAUGACAUGACAGUGAAGGAUGAAAUGUCCUACAUUAACAUUGCGUCCCAAUUAUUAAGGACUUUGACUCGUUGUUCCUUUUUAUUGAUUUUUAGAACUUGCUGUCAUAUUAUAUGUUCACUCUUUAUUGGUGUUAAAGUUAUACUUUUAUAACUAAGUUGGUUUAUAAGAUAGGACUUAAUAAAUAAGUUGAUUUCUUAAUUUUUAGGAGUACAUUUGUCCAUGUCAUGUUACUGUCUAUGUUUAGAUGCUUAUUUUUUUGUCUUUUAUAUUGACUAUUUAUUUAUUAUACUGAUAAAUAAAUUAAGUUAUUAUUUUUAUUUCUGAUCGUAUUAUCAAAUUUAUCAUCCCUUUGUUUCUCUUUGAUUCUCUCAUGAAAAAAUCAACAAUGGGCACAUAUAUGUCUUUAUUUUGCAUAGGAUAUGUUAGUUGGUUCAAUAGAUACUUCAGCUACAGCAAUUGAGUGGACAAUUUCAGAGCUACUCAAGAAUCCAAGGGUGAUGAAGAAACUCCAAAGGGAAUUGGAAACUGUGGUGGGUAUGAAGAGGAAGGUGGGGGAAUCAGACCUGGACAAGUUGAAGUAUUUGGAGAUGGUUGUAAAGGAAGGCUUGAGGCUCCAUCCAGUGGCACCGUUACUAUUACCACACCACUCGAGGGAAGAUUGCAUGGUUGGAGAAUAUUUCAUACCUAAAAAUUCAAGGGUGAUAGUAAAUGCAUGGACAAUUAUGAGAGACCCAAGUGCUUGGGAUGAGGCAGAGAAGUUCUGGCCAGAGAGAUUUGAGGGAAGCAACAUAGAUGUGAGAGGGAAAGACUUCCGGUUCUUACCUUUUGGGUCUGGCAGAAGGGUCUGUCCAGGAUUGCAAUUGGGCCUAAACACAGUUCUCCUAACAGUGGCCCAACUGGUGCAUUGCUUUGAUUGGAAGCUACCAAAUAACAUGUUGCCAUGUGAAUUAGACAUGACAGAGGAGUUUGGCCUCUCAAUGCCUAGAGCAAAUCAUCUACUUGUCAUUCCAACAUAUUAUCGCCUUCAUGAUCAAAGUUGUUAGAAGUCCACGUGGGGUUCAUAUGAAUAAGAUGCACUGGAUAAUAAACUACCCUUUCUCUUUCCUUUCUUAUCAUCAUCAAUGUCUCUAUCAUUGAAAAAAUUGGUUUUUGUUGUUUAUGCGAAACUGUUACGCCAUUCGUGACGAUUUGAAAAUAGAGGAAUAUUAUUUUAACAUCGUUUUCUCGCAACUUCAUAAGGAAACAGAUAAGUUGUAAACAAAAUAAUAAUAAUAAUAUAGUUAAUAUAAGAUAAAGUCAAUAAUUUAUUUGAUGGGUACCAAAUAUUGGGAGAACUUCUUCCUUUACUAACACGUCUUUCAAUUUUCACUCGAUUAUAGUAAACAAGUUCAAAAUGAUCACAUAAUACGGAAAAUAUGUUUGUAUACGGAAAGAUUUUUAAUUUUAGCCGGUCAAGUCAAAGCAAAUUUAUUGAAAUUAUCGUCAUGCAUGACAAGGUUUCCCUUUGAUUUAAUAUUAUUUUUGUAGGCUAAUUUGUGAGGGGGUAACAAAUACUAUAUUUAUUAGGUGACACAAUUUAGUCAAAUUAUGCACAUAUUUUUUCGUCAUUUAUAUGGUGCUCAAACUUUCUACUUUUAUCGGAUGUACGAUUUUAUCUCACACGUGUAAUUCAACAUUUUCUGGACAUGCUCGAACCUCAAUCCUAUCUUUGAUUAUGUUAAUGUAACAUGAAUUAACAAUUUAAUCCCUGGAAAUUACUCGAAUGUCAGGAUCUGCAUCAGAAAAAUUAAUAGUUAAAUUAUAGACCAAUAAGAAAGAUAUCAGAAGUAAAAAUAGGAAAUAUGUAUAUAUCUACGAGAACUGAAGAUUAGGAACUUUCCCUGUUUCACAUAAUAUUCUUAAAGUUACUUGCAAAUAGUUCAGCAUUAGCAAACUUCAUUAGUGUAAUCAAUAUCCUGAAAUUAAAAUUGUUAAUUCAUGUCACAUUAACAGAAUGAAAGAUAGGUUUGAGGUCUGAGGAUGUUGUGCAGAAAACACGUGCAAUCAUCAUACUGAAACAAGAACGAGUUCCACAAAUCAACCCCUCCAAACCUGCAAAUUUGCUAAAAGACCCCUUUAUACAUUGGUUAGGCUCAAACACUUGGAAACCGUAAUAAAUGCUGUUCAAGGUUUUUAAAGAACAACCGACUACAUAUGAUAUUCUCAACAAGCAUGCUUCAUGCUGAAGCAUUAUAAUUACACAAUGAAAUAUAAAAUUAUAUUAAAACGACUUUAAAAUCGUAAAUAAUAAAAAAAAUUAUUUAAUUAUAACUAUUAUUUGAACGAUUUUAAGAUUGUAAGUUAUAAAAAGUAUUAAUUAUAAUUAUUUUUAAUUUUAAAAGAAUUAAACAAUAAAAUAUAAAAUUAUAAUUAAAAUGACUUUAAAAUCAUUCAGAAUUAAUUUAAAAAUAAAAAAAUUAAUCACGAGUUUGAAAUGGUGAAAAUUUAUGACUUUAUAUAAGUAAUUAAAAAAAUUAAAAUUGUUUAAUUUUUUAUGACUUCAUUAUGAAAAAAAUAAAAUAAAAACGUAAAUCUUUUUACGUUUUCAUUUUCAAGCAAAUUUUUUUACUACUUACUCAAAUGAUUAAUUAAAAAAAUAUCCCAAUUUGAUAAAUUUCAAAUGGAAUUACCUGCUUUUCCUCAAAACCCACGUUCAUGCAACAUUUGUUUUUCUCUUUCUCUUGAACACAUGCAUGAAUUGAAAUAGAAGAAAUUCUAAGCCGGUACUAAACUAAUCCAGCACCCUCCAAAAGCCACCAAAACCGUUUCACUUGAAUCAAUAUUUAAAACAAUGAAAUCUUCAUCAGGCCUCUGCCAAGAAACAUGUAGAGAUUAGUCGGACAAUAAUGAUCCCAUGCCACCUAAUAAUUUGUGGUGCGGCUAGCAUGUGCCAAAAUUCAACAAAACAUGCAGAAAACCAAAGAAUUAUCUUGUGCAGAAGUCAUUCAUGUCGGCGUAUUUUUUUCUGACCCAUAAAAUUCAAAGUAGUAUCUUGUGGCGUACUUAAUCUGACCCAUAAAUAGCAGUUGUUGUACUACGCUUAAUGAUACUUACAACAAAACCACGGUUUCUCACAAACACUAGUUCUGUGUAAGCCCAGUUGUUUUUCUCCGAAAUUGCUAGGAUGAUUUGGAUAGCAGCUUUUUUAGUUUCUCUUGCUUUUCUGUGGUUAUGGAUAAGCAACAAGAAUGCAAAGAAAUUACCACCUGGUCCCAUAGGGUUGCCAAUUUUGGGAAGCCUUCACAAGUUGGGUGCAAAUCCUCAUCGUGGCCUGCACCAACUAGCCCAAAAAUAUGGACCUAUCAUGCACUUACGCUUAGGUUUUGUGCCCACCAUAGUUAUUUCUUCCCCCCAAGCUGCUGAACUGUUCCUCAAGACCCAUGACCUUGUCUUUGCUAGUAGACCACCCCAUGAAGCUAUAAAGUACAUUGCUUGGGAGCAGAGGAACUUGGGAUUUGCUGAAUAUGGUUCUUACUGGCGCAACAUGCGCAAGAUGUGCACAUUGGAAUUGCUUAGCCAAACCAAAAUUAACUCCUUCAGAAUCGUGAGAGAAGAAGAACUUGACCUAUCCAUCAAGCUUCUAAGAGAGGCAUCCAAUGAUGGAGCUGCUGCUGUUGAUAUCAGUGCCAAGGUUGCAAGAAUCAGUGCAGACGUGGCUUGUAGAAUGGUCUUGGGAAAGAAGUACAUGGACCAGGACUUGGAUGAGAAGGGGUUUAAGGCUGUGGUGCAAGAGGUAAUGCACUUACUAGCAACUCCUAACAUAGGUGAUUACAUUCCUUACAUUGGUAAACUUGACCUUCAAGGGCUAAUCAAGCGUAUGAAGGCGGUUCGCAAAAUCUUUGAUGAAUUCUUUGACAAAAUUAUUGAUGAGCAUAUUCAAUCAGACAAGGGACAAGACAAUAAGGUGAAGGAUUUUGUGGAUGUCAUGUUGGGCUU